GAGUAAUGCGUGACCAACCUGCCCCAUGCUCCAGAAUAGCUCUUGGAAACGGGUGGUAAUGCUGGAUGCUCCAACUUGACGCAUGUCUUGUUGGGAAAGUGUUUAGUGGCAUGGGAUGGGGUCGCGUCCUAUCAGCUUGUAGGCGGGGUAAUGGCCCACCUAGGCUUCGACGGGUAGCCGGCCUGAGAGGGCGGACGGCCACAUUGGGACUGAGAUACGGCCCAGACUCCUACGGGAGGCAGCAGGC
rnacentral:rRNA from 1 species